UACGGAGGGUGCAAGCGUUAAUCGGAAUUACUGGGCGUAAAGCGUGCGCAGGCGGUUUGUUAAGUCCGUUGUGAAAGCCCCGGGCUCAACCUGGGAAUUGCAUUUGAGACUGCUCUGCUCGGGUGCGGAAGAGGGAAGCGGAAUUUCCGGUGUAGCGGUGAAAUGCGUAGAUAUCGGAAGGAACACCAGUGGCGAAAGCGGCUUCCUGGUCCGACACCGACGUUCAGGCACGAAAGCGUGGGGAGCAAACAGG
rnacentral:rRNA from 1 species